rnacentral:rRNA from 1 species
UACAUGGGGUGCAAACGUUGCUCGGAAUUAUUGGGCGUAAAGCGCACGUAGGCGGUUCGUUAAGUCGGAUGUGAAAGCCCUCGGCUCAACUGAGGAAGUGCACCCGAAACUGGCGAGCUUGAGUACGAAAGAGGAUCGCGGAAUUCCCGGUGUAGAGGUGAAAUUCGUAGAUAUCGGGAGGAACACCGGUGGCGAAGGCGGCGAUCUGGGCCUUACCUGACGCUGAGGAGCGAAAGCGUGGGGAGCGAACAGG